AGAGGAGGGGACACACCCGGUGCAAUGCCGAACCCGGCAGUUAAGCCCUUCUUCGCCGAUGGUACUACGGAGGGUAUUCGUGGGAGAGUAGGU
rnacentral:rRNA from 1 species